rnacentral:lncRNA from 1 species
GUUGCAAGUCUUCCGACGAUAUCCAUUUCAGUGUUGUUGGAAUAAGUGUUACUUAAAGUAUUUCUUUUUGACUUCUACGUCUCUCUUUGAAAAUAUAGACUGAAAGAAGCUUCUAUUUAUAGGCCUUGAAUAAGUGUUACUUAAAGUAUUUCUUUUUGACUUCUACGUCUCUCUUUGAAAAUAUAGAUUGAAAGAAGCUUCUAUUUAUAGGCCUUGGAGGCGCUUAACUUUUUCUUAUUAUUAGAAAUAAUUGUUGUCUUUGUUUCAUAACAUGUUUCAACCCCGACUUUU